rnacentral:rRNA from 1 species
CCUACGGGAGACAGCAGUGGGGAAUAUUGGUCAAUGGACGAGAGUCUGAACCAGCCAAGUAGCGUGAAGGAUGACUGCCCUAUGGGUGGUAAACUUCUUUUAUAUGGGAAUAAAAUGUUCCACGUGUGGGAUUUUGUAUGUACCAUAUGAAUAAGGAUCGGCGAACUACGUGCCAGCAGCCGCGGUAAUACGGAGGAUCCGAGCGUUGUCCGGAUUUAUUGGGUUUAAAGGGAGCGUAGGUGGAUGGUUAAGGCAGUUGUGAAAGUUUGCGGCUCAACCGUAAAAUUGCAGUUGAAACUGGCGGUCUUGAGUGCAGUAGAGGUGGGCGGAAUUCGUGGUGUAGCGGUGAAAUGCUUAGAUAUAACGAAGAACUCCGAUUGCGAAGGCAGUUCACUGGACUGCAACUGACACUGAGGCUCGAAAGUAUGGGUAUCAAACAGGAUUAGAUACCCCUGUAGUC